CGAAGGGAGCAGGAGGCUGCGGAGGGCUGUCCUGUCCUAGCGCUCGUCUGGGCGAGGGGAGAGAGCUGGCUGGCUGUGUUGUACCCGAGAUGCUGUGUGGAGGAGGAAGUUGAUGACAGGAGAGCAGAGCUCACUUUCAAGACCUGAGGCAGGAAGGGAAGAAUUUUGAGCUGGCGCCUUAUCUUUGCAGCUUGGUCAGUUCCCCAUGACCCUGGGGCAAAGGACAGCCUCCCAUACUUGAG